AGUGAAACACCGGUUCUCGUACAAUCACCGAAAUUAAGCAAAGUUGAGACUGGUCAAUAUCUAGAUGGGUGACCCCUUGGGUAUACCAGGUGCUGUAUGC